rnacentral:rRNA from 1 species
GACGAACGCUGGCGGCGUGCUUAACACAUGCAAGUGGGGCGACGAACCAGGCUUCGGCCUGGGGCAAAGCCGCGAACGGGUGAGUAACACGUGGGUAACCUGCCCCGAAGACUGGGACAACCCGGGGAAACCCGGAUUAAUACCUCGUAACCUAGUGAAGUGGCAUCCCUUUAUUAGUAUAGCUCCGGCGGUUUUGGAUGGGCGUGCGCCUGAUUAGGUAGUUGGCGGGGUAACGGCCCACCAAGCCUACGAUCAGUAACUGGUGUGAGAGCACGACCAGUCACACGGGCACUGAGACACGGGCCCGACUCCUACGGGAGGCAGCAGUAAGGAAUAUUGGUCAAUGGACGCAAGUCUGAACCAGCCAUGCCGCGUGAAGGAUGAAGGUCCUCUGGAUUGUAAACUUCUUUUAUAUGGGACGAAACCUCUUUUUCUUGAGAGACUGACGGUACCAUAGGAAUAAGCACCGGCUAACUCCGUGCCAGCCGCCGCCGUAA